GAAGGCACCCGGAGCGGCCAUAUGCGCCGGCGCGUAACGUACGUGACCCAGAAGGAGGCGUGGCCAAGAACGGCGUCCGCAGCCGGAGAAUGAAAGGGGUUAGCAAGAUCAGAUGGGCAGAAGGAUUCUACCGCUCAUCAACACACUGGGCCAAUUCACCAACCUACAAGAACUUGGGACAACCAGCGCACCAAUUGUGAAUUGGAGAGCUACGACAGAGGAGGCAGCGUACAGAUCCAGGAGCAAAGUUUAAAAGGGAGAGCUUUGCAGGAACUCGGCUAUAACUUGCACACCAAUCGUGUGAUGGAGAACUGGGAAGGUUCUAGCAUAAAAGGGAGACACUGCCUAGUGGAGCGGUCAUUGACGGAGUGGCCCAAGUCAGUGGAACGGCUUUGGCUCAUUCGGGCUUCGGUGAGGUCAGUGGGAAUGGGAUCCGUUCUCGGGGUUUCAGGACCGGCCGUUGUUCGGCACACCAAGGAUUCUGCCUGAGAGGCGACCUAGUGUUCAGAAGCCUAAGAUCUCGGGGGUCUGAAGACGGGUGGAUUGAGGGUCAGUAUCACAGCAGGAGACUCGUGUGUCAUCGGGGAGGCCAGAAAAUCUUGCGCUGUGGGGCCGAAGACCCGAGAUCUUUGUGAUCUUCAGACACAGAGCUUGUAAAAUGUGAUGAAACUGACUUUUUAACAUCGUAAACCAGUGGGUUGUUGUUAUGUCUCCCGCUCGCUGUGAAAAUGGGGCACACCUCCCUCUCCCUUAUUAGGGAGAGAGGGAACCUGUGGGUUGCCGAAAGCUGAAUGAAAUGCAAUAGUCUUUGGGGUAACUGCAAGGUCUGUGUCCUUGCUAUCACUUAGCUCACGCUUGUGCUCGGUAGCAGGUGUGCUUUUUUUU